AGUGAACGCUGGCGGUAGGCCUAACACAUGCAAGUCGAACGGCAGCACAGUAAGAGCUUGCUCUUACGGGUGGCGAGUGGCGGACGGGUGAGGAAUACAUCGGAAUCUACUUUUUCGUGGGGGAUAACGUAGGGAAACUUACGCUAAUACCGCAUACGACCUACGGGUGAAAGCAGGGGAUCUUCGGACCUUGCGCGAUUGAAUGAGCCGAUGUCGGAUUAGCUAGUUGGCGGGGUAAAGGCCCACCAAGGCGACGAUCCGUAGCUGGUCUGAGAGGAUGAUCAGCCACACUGGAACUGAGACACGGUCCAGAAUCCUACGGGAGGCAGCAGUGGGGAAUAUUGGACAAAGGGCGCAAGCCUGAUCCAGCCAUACCGCGGGGGUGAAGAAGGCCUUCGGGUUGUAAAGCCCUUUUGUUUGGAAAGAAAAGCAGCAGGUUAAUACCCCGCUGUUCUGACGGUACCCAAAGAAUAAGCACCGGCUAACUUCGUG
rnacentral:rRNA from 1 species